rnacentral:lncRNA from 1 species
GCUGACCCUGAACUGAAGCCCCACACAUCUGCUCAUUAGCCAGGUUGGGAGCCAGCUUUGCUCUCCCUCACCUCAGCAGCUCGGUGCUCUGCGUUCAGACCCCUCGGAUGGCCUCAAGCCCUCCCGUGACGGGGCCACUGUCUGCCUCUCCUGCCUGAUCCUGUGCCCCUCCACGCCUCACCAGUCUCACAGCCACGCUGGCCUUGUGUCUCUUUGCGUGGUAAGUUCCUUCUUGCCCCAGACAGGCUGUUUCACCACCUGGAAACCACGUCCAGGCUCUGACCGGAUCAGUCCCUUCUGCCUUCCAGACCUUGGAACAGGGACCUCUCUUGUCCACUGUCCCACCCCACCUCAUCACAAAAUAAGGAUAAGAAUUCAAGUGUGCUGAUCAUUCCUUCCACAUCCUCUUAUGCUCCUGCUACAAACAAAUGGGUUUUAAACUGUGCAUUUAUGCCCUACAAGGGAGGGGUUUAUGCCAUCAGUUUUGUGAAAGGUGACAGAUACUUUUAAUAGAAUCAGAAAACAAUGGAAGAGAACAAAAGGCUUUAGAGUGUGCCUCACUCCAUAAAAAUAAGUAUUGUUGGGUGAAAUUUUAAUCCCAUUUCUGUGUGUGUGUGUCGAAUCCUGAUGCAAAAGACAUUCUGCUUCUCGGCUGAAGAUCAAAUGUGUUUGAUAGUUACUCUGUGAACCUGUAGAUCCCAUCUUUCAUCUCAUCUGUUACUGUCUAUCACGAUACCUCUCUUGUACAAUAACUGUGAGAAUCAAAUGGGUAAAUAUUCAGAAGUUGCUUAGAAGAGUUGCUGGCAUUUUGGAAGCACCAUGUGGGGUAUUAUGUAACAUUAUAUUUAUUUAUAUUUAUAUAUUUUUGUUCACUAAUUUAUCUGCAAUGCCUGUUUUAGGGCCUGGAACACUAGCCCUGUCCAUAAAGAUCGGUUGGAUAAAGAGAAAGGACCCUGUGACAUAAGCCACCUUGUGUCUUCUUCUGGGUGGGAGGAUGAGGCUUUCCCAUUAUCAAGUCUUUCCACUUCCUGCUCCACCAUGGUUCUUGACUCAGGGUCACCUGGGCAAUACAACUAUGUUUCCUUGUCUGGCAACCUCUGAGCCUUGCAUGAGAAGGUUAAGUAAAGGCAACCUAAGAUCCAGUAUGAGAACUUCAUUCAUGAGUGAAAUCACAUUUUUCUCCAUCCUCCUUCAGAAAAAUGUUUCUUUGACACCAAACUCUUGGCAGCUGCAGGAAGAGGCCAACAUGCCUAAUGUAGGCACAACUGAACUGUUCCUUCUACUCUGAGAUCUCCAUCACCCACAUCUGAGGGCAUCCAAGUGAGGGCAGUGUGGGUGAUUAGCAUUGUUAGAACUAGCCUCUCAUCCAGAAGGACGGAUUAAAUUUCCACUCGUCCAAAGUCAGGAGUAUCUCCUGAGCCUGUUAUCAUUAGAAACAAGCUAAUGGUUCCAGUUCUGAUGGUGGCUGAUGCAGGAACAAUCAUACAUACAUCACACCCCGCUUUGUUCCCAGGCCACCUUGCAGGGUAACAUAACCUCAGAACACACCACUGUCUAAAUAAGGAAAUAACUGGUGGGAAUCACAUGAAGGCAGAUUUGGAGUUAAUAUGGAACCUGAGCUGGCCAAUGGGACUGUAAUCUAUGGAACUGGCUGCUAGCAUAGUGGAGAAUGUCCAUCAUUGGAGGUGUUCGCCUGAGGACCACAUGACCACUUCCCUCCAUGAGAGCAUUUGCAGGACUCUCCACAGGGAAUUCCAAGGUCCCUUCUCUUCUUGCGUUUCCCAGUGCUACAGUCACUCCAACAACCUCAUCUUGACACUUGCCAUCCUCCUGCAAGAAUAUUGGUCUCCAACACUCAUCUGCAUGAUGUGACGGCAUCCCACGCUCUUGUCGUGCUCAGUCUUGAUUGGCUGCACCAGGUGGCUGCUGCAUUUACCCACAUUGGAGGUCAAAGGAAGGAGGCUUCACUCAUGAUGAUGUGAGGAUGUUCCAAUGCACCCUGGGCUCGAUGAAGAAAUUGGCAGUGUACUUGGAAAAAUAUCAGCCUUUUCCAGAGUGAAAAUUCAAGCGUAAAAUCUGCUUCUACACCAGAGCCUGCCACUCUUGUUUUGGGGUGGGAAUAAUUAUUAUAUCUUAGAUUUUUCUCUUUAGAAAAAAGUUCAAGUAGGAUUUGCACAAAAUUGUAAGAACAUUUUUAAAGAUUUUCUGAUGUAUAAAGAAUAUGACUUUGAAUGUGUGGAUCUGGAUAAAGGAUAUAAUUUUGUGUAGGAUGGUGACUUCAAAUGAAAAGGUAGCGUUGUUAUUUUAAAAAGGAGUGGAAUGUGCUUCAUGGAAAACCAAGCCUAUACUAGGUAGUUUACUGUUUGCAAGUUUCAUGUGUAUCAAAAACAAAUGUUUCUCAGGAAAGAAUUAUAUGUUUAUUGUUUUCACUACAGGUACAGUCUUCAGACAGCUUCCCUCGGUCACUCAGUAAAUGCUUACUGCAUAAGGAAUUACAGCAAGAAUAUUUAUGUCUAUUGCUUUUAAGUUUUUGGAAGAUGGGAGAGAUGGAGGGAUGAUUGGUGUGCAUACAUGGAUGUUCGCUAAAAUGUCCAAACUAUUUUAGGGUUUGUGGAUGGAAUUAACUCUUAUUUAAUGUUUUUUGAAAGAACUGUCAGAGAAGAGGUUGAAGAGAUUGUUUUCUUUUCACUGGGUGUUUUGUUUUGUUUUAUUUUGUUUGCAUUGCAAUUCUUAUUACAUAUAUAUAACACAAUUUUUCAUAUCUCUGUUUGUAUAUAAAGUAUGUUGACACCCAAUUUGUGUCUUCAUACAUGUACUUUGAUUAAUGACUGGGAACAUUUUAAAGAGAAGAAAUACUGAGACCUUUCUGGUUUUAUUUACUCAAAGUUAUACUGAAAUGUUAUUUCAAAUUGAAUUAAAAUUUCACAAGAAUUAGGCACAUGCUCUUGAAGACAGAUUAUGUGAAUGUGAAACAUGAUGAAAAGGGAAUGAAGAAAUGCACGAUUCAGAUUCAUGUAUUUAAAAAGGAAGGAAUUGUUUUGACCUUGAACUGGAUGUGGCACCCCUCCUGUAAAUUAAAUCCUUAGAAAUGAGCUUCUGGGAAAAUUGCAUUCUAGAAUAUGUUAAUAAAUUGUUAGAAUAUGUGAAAAGCCACAUGAACAUCAUCCCUGUCAUAUUUUUACUACGUGAGAAAUUGAAACAGGAAUUUUAAAAGCAUGCGAUUUAAACCUAACAAGCCACAUGUGAACAUAAAUAACAUAUUUUAAUAAAAAUUUAUAUUUUUCC